UACGGGGGGGGCAAGCGUUGUUCGGAAUUACUGGGCGUAAAGGGCUCGUAGGUGGCCAACUAAGUCAGACGUGAAAUCCCUCAGCUUAACUGGGGAACUGCGUCUGAUACUGGAUGGCUUGAGUUUGGGAGAGGGAUGCGGAAUUCCAGGUGUAGCGGUGAAAUGCGUAGAUAUCUGGAGGAACGCCGGUGGCGAAAGCGACUGUCUGGGGUGUCUGUGACGCUGAGGCGCGAAAGCCAGGGGAUCAAACGGG
rnacentral:rRNA from 1 species